rnacentral:rRNA from 1 species
UAGGGAAUCUUCCACAAUGGACAAAAGUCUGAUGGAGCAACGCCGCGUGAGUGAAGAAGGGUUUCGGCUCGUAAAGCUCUGUUGGUAGUGAAGAAAGAUAGAGGUAGUAACUGGCCUUUAUUUGACGGUAAUUACUUAGAAAGUCACGGCUAACUACGUGCC